rnacentral:rRNA from 1 species
AGCUGGCUGGUGCCAUGAGGUGACUUCUGCCCAGUGCUCUGAUUGUCAAUGCGAAGAGAUUCAGCCAAGCGCGGGUAAACGGCGGGAGUAACUAUGACUCUCUUAAGGUAGCCAAAUGCCUCGUCAGCCAAUUACUGACGCGCAUGAAUGGAUCAACGAGAUUCCUGCUGUCCCUAGUCGCUGUCUGGUGAACCAACAACCAAGGGAACGGGCUUGGAUGUGUCAGCGGGGAAAGAAGACCCUGUUGAGUUUGACUCUAGUCUGAUGCUGUGCAACGACAUGUUGGGUGUAGCACAGGUGGGAGGCGAGCGCCUGUGGAGAGGAUGACGAUGCCGACGCUGGCGAUGGGGCGACCCUCCCGGCCGAGGCCCAAGAAGCGAAUCCAUGGUGCAAACCAGCAGUGAAAUACCACUACCUUCACCGUCGUUUUACUCAUCGAGUGCUCUGGGAACGGUGGCCAUCUUGGACAUCGGCCCUCCACCUGGGGGGUCGUGGCUCUUCCCCGCUUCGUGUGCAAAGUGCCCGCACCUCGCGUGCGGCACGACCCAGGAUUGAACCACAACCCAAUCAGAAGCCUCGAGACACUGAUCAGAUGGGGAGUUUGGCUGGGGCGGCACGCCUGUUACAGGACAACGCAGGCGUCCUGAAGCAUUGCUCAGAUGGAACAGAAAUCUCUCAGAGAGGAGAAGGCCAAAGGUGCUGCUGAUGCUGCGACCUUCAGUACAGGUCCAAAACGUGCAAGUGUGGCCUAGCGAUCCUUUGGUCAAGUGUGCGAGUUCUGGAUAUCGAAGCCAGAGGUGUCAGAAAAAUUACCACAGGGAUAACUGGCUUGUGGCUGCCAAGCGUUCAAAGCGACGUCGCUUUUUGAUCCUUCGAUGUCGGCUCUUCCUAGCUUGCCACCCGCAGCCGAGUGCAAGAGUUGGAUUGUUC